CGUACACUCCUACGGGAGGCAGCAGUGGGGAAUAUUGGACAAUGGGCGCAAGCCUGAUCCAGCCAUGCCGCGUGAGUGAUGAAGGCCCUAGGGUUGUAAAGCUCUUUCACCGGUGAAGAUAAUGACGGUAACCGGAGAAGAAGCCCCGGCUAACUUCGUGCCAGCAGCCGCGGUAAUACGAAGGGGGCUAGCGUUGUUCGGAUUUACUGGGCGUAAAGCGCACGUAGGCGGACUAUUAAGUCAGGGGUGAAAUCCCGGGGCUCAACCCCGGAACUGCCUUUGAUACUGGUAGUCUUGAGUUCGAGAGAGGUGAGUGGAAUUCCGAGUGUAGAGGUGAAAUUCGUAGAUAUUCGGAGGAACACCAGUGGCGAAGGCGGCUCACUGGCUCGAUACUGACGCUGAGGUGCGAAAGCGUGGGGAGCAAACAGGAUUAGAAACCCCGGUAGUCCCAUGA
rnacentral:rRNA from 1 species